rnacentral:rRNA from 1 species
GACGAACGCUGGCGGCGUGCCUAAUUACAUGCAAGUCGAGCGAGCUGAAUUCAAAGAUUCCUUCGGGAUGAUUUGUUGGACGCUAGCGGCGGAUGGGUGAGUAACACGUGGGCAAUCUGCCCUAAAGACUGGGAUACCACUUGGAAACAGGUGCUAAUACCGGAUAACAACAUGAAUCGCAUGAUUCAAGUUUGAAGGGCGGCGUAAGCUGUCACUUUAGGAUGAGCCCGCGGCGCAUUAGCUAGUUGGUGGGGUAAAGGCCUACCAAGGCGAUGAUGCGUAGCCGAGUUGAGAGACUGAUCGGCCACAUUGGGACUGAGACACGGCCCAAACUCCUACGGGAGGCAGCAGUAGGGAAUCUUCCACAAUGGACGCAAGCCUGAUGGAGCAACGCCGCGUGAGUGAAGAAGGUCUUCGGAUCGUAAAGCACUGUUGUAAGUGAAGAAUGCCAUAUAGAGGAAAUGCUAUGUGGGU